GUAUGGUAUACACCUGGUGUAACCAUGCAUGCUACAGCUGUGCCAGGAUUCCUGGGGCUGAGCGGAGGGAAGGAGCGGCUCUCCCACGGCUCUUCGCCUCUUCUUAGGCCACUGCCUGAUUCGCAUUUUUAACCUCCGUUUACACCAGUCUCGGCAUUUUUCCCCCAGUUUAUCAUUUUUCUAAGUGUUUUCCAAGUUAUUGGUACAUAGCUGCUCAUAAUUUUUAUACCUUCUUCUCUAUUGUGUUUGUAGUUAACUCUUGUGUAUUUUUUUCUCUCGUGUUUAAAAAAUCAGUCUUGCAAGGUGCUUUCUUGCUUCUUAGUCUUCAAAGAAGGAAAUUUCGGUUUUCUUAAGCGUUCCAUUAUUCUGCACCUGCUGAAUGUAAAGUUUAUACACAGAAAUGUAAGUGUGAGUAUCACUUAUCAUCAGAGAAAUGUGAAUUAAAGCCACGAGGCCGAGUGCAGUGGUUCGCACCUGUAAUCCCAGCACUUUGGAAAGCUGAGGCAGUCAGAUCACAUGAGCUCAGGAGUUCGAGACCAGCCUGGGCAACAUGGCAAAAUCCCAUCUCUACAAAAAGAAAAUACAAAAAUUAGCUGGGCGUGGUGGCUUGCACCUGUAGUUAGCUUCCUGGGAGGCUAAAGUGGGAGGAUUGCUUGAACCCUGGAAGCGGAGGUUGCAGUGAGUCGAGAUGGCGCCACUGCACUCCAACACGGGUGGCAGAGUGAGACCCUGUCUCAAAAAAUAAAAAUAAAAAUAAAACCACAAUGAGAUAUCAUCUCACACCGUCAGAAUGGCUAUUAUUAAAAAGUCAAAAAUAUAACAUGUUGAGGAUGCAGACAAAAGGGAAUGCAUAUACACUGUUGGUGGGAAUGUGAACUCACUUAGCCUGUAUGGAAAAUGUUAUGGUUUUUCUCAAAGAACUAAAAAUGGAACUCCCAUUCCAUCCAGCAAUCACACCACAGGGCACCUGCACAAAUGAAAGGAAUUCAUUAUAUCAAAAAGAUGCUCACACUUAUGUGUUUAUCACAGCACUGUUCACACGAGCAAAGAUAUGGAAUUAACCUGUGUCCAUCAGUGGAUGACUGGAUAAAGAUGUGUGUGGAGGUGUGUGUGUGUGCA
rnacentral:lncRNA from 1 species